CCGUCAUGCUUUCUCUUACUCCGUCCCUCUUUAACUCCAGCCUCCUCCACUUGUAGCUGCCUCAGAGGAUCGGCAACGCCAGCAGCAGGAUUGGUUUUUUGUUGACGAGCUUUCGCCAAGAACGCCAGUCUUUCUUCAUUCGAAAUGGUCCUCAUUCUUUCUGAAAAAUAAAGGAAUCAGAAAAACACAGGUUAGUAAUAAGGC
rnacentral:lncRNA from 1 species